GCUCGCUUCGACAGAGCAUGUAGUAAAGUCAGGCCAAUAUGGAGACGAUCAGCAUCAACCAUGCACAAUGACGACAUGCAAAUUCAGGAAACAUUCUGUGUUGUA